ACGGAAGGCAGCAGUGGGGAAUAUUGCACAAUGGGCGAAAGCCUGAUGCAGCGACGCCGCGUGAGUGAAGAAGUAUCUCGGUAUGUAAAGCUCUAUCAGCAGGGAAGAAAAUGACGGUACCUGACUAAGAAGCCCCGGCUAACUACGUGCCAGCAGCCGUGGUAAUACGUAGGGGGCAAGCGUUAUCCGGAUUUACUGGGUGUAAAGGGAGCGUAGACGGUUUGGCAAGUCUGAAGUGAAAUGCGGGGGCUCAACUCCUGAACUGCUUUGGAAACUGUCGAACUAGAGUGCAGGAGAGGUAAGUGGAAUUCCUAGUGUAGCGGUGAAAUGCGUAGAUAUUAGGAGGAACACCAGUGGCGAAGGCGGCUUACUGGACUGUAACUGACGUUGAGGCUCGAAAGCGUGGGGAGCAAACAGGAUUAGAUACCCUGGUA
rnacentral:rRNA from 1 species